UUUUUGAAAAUAAUUUAAAGUCUAAUCUGCCCACUGAUAUUAUAUUGAAGGGCUGCAGUAAUUUGACUGUACAAAGGUAGCAUAAUCAUUAGUCUCUUAAUUGGUGACUUGUAUGAAGGAUUUGAUGAAAUAUGAACUGUCUCAUUUUAAUUUAUUGAAUUUAAUUUUUUAGUUAAAAAGCUAAAAUUUAAUUAAAAGACGAGAAGACCCUAUAGAGUUUAAUAAUUUAAUUAGUUAUUAUUUUAUAUAAUUUUUUUUUUAAAAAUUAAUUAAAUUAUUUUGUUGGGGUGAUAGAAAAAUUUAAUUAACUUUUUAUAAAAAUUAACAUUAAUUUAUGAAUAAAUGAUCCGUAAUUUACGAUUAUAAGAAAAAAUUACCUUAGGGAUAACAGCGUAAUUUUUUUUUUUAGUUCAAAUAAGAAAAAGAGUUUGCGACCUCGAUGUUGGAUUAAGAUAAAAUUUAAAUGCAAAAGUUUAAAAUUUUU
rnacentral:rRNA from 1 species